rnacentral:rRNA from 1 species
UAGGGAAUCUUCGGCAAUGGGGGCAACCCUGACCGAGCAACGCCGCGUGAGUGAAGAAGGUUUUCGGAUCGUAAAGCUCUGUUGUAAGUCAAGAACGAGUGUGAGAGUGGAAAGUUCACACUGUGACGGUAGCUUACCAGAAAGGGACGGCUAACUACGUGCCAGCAGCCGCGGUAAUACGUAGGUCCCGAGCGUUGUCCGGAUUUAUUGGGCGUAAAGCGAGCGCAGGCGGUUUGAUAAGUCUGAAGUUAAAGGCUGUGGCUCAACCAUAGUUCGCUUUGGAAACUGUCAAACUUGAGUGCAGAAGGGGAGAGUGGAAUUCCAUGUGUAGCGGUGAAAUGCGUAGAUAUAUGGAGGAACACCGGUGGCGAAAGCGGCUCUCUGGUCUGUAACUGACGCUGAGGCUCGAAAGCGUGGGGAGCGAACAGGAUUAGAUACCCUGGUAGUCCACGCCGUNNNGAUGAGUGCUAGGUGUUGGAUCCUUUCCGGGAUUCAGUGCCGCAGCUAACGCAUUAAGCACUCCGCCUGGGGAGUACGACCGCAAGGUUG